rnacentral:rRNA from 1 species
AUUGAACGCUGGCGGCAGGCCUAACACAUGCAAGUCGAGCGGAUGAAGGGAGCUUGCGCCUGGAUUCAGCGGCGGACGGGUGAGUAAUGCCUAGGAAUCUGCCUGGCAGUGGGGGAUAACGUCCGGAAACGGGCGCUAAUACCGCAUACGUCCUGAGGGAGAAAGUGGGGGAUCUUCGGACCUCACGCUAUCAGAUGAGCCUAGGUCGGAUUAGCUAGUUGGUGGGGUAAAGGCCUACCAAGGCGACGAUCCGUAACUGGUCUGAGAGGAUGAUCAGUCACACUGGAACUGAGACACGGUCCAGACUCCUACGGGAGGCAGCAGUGGGGAAUAUUGGACAAUGGGCGAAAGCAUGAUCCAGCCAUGCCGCGUGUGUGAAGAAGGUCUUCGGAUUGUAAAGCACUUUAAGUUGGGAGGAAGGGCAGUAAGUUAAUACCUUGCUGUUUUGACGUUACCAACAGAAUAAGCACCGGCUAACUUCGUG